rnacentral:rRNA from 1 species
AGCAGCCGCGGUAAUUCCAGCUCCAAUAGCGUAUAUUAAAGUUGUUGCAGUUAAAAAGCUCGUAGUUGAAUUUCGGGAUUAGCAAGUUGGUCGUGCCUUCGGUAUGCACUGGCUUUGCUGAUUCCUCCUUCUUGAAGAACUGUAAUGCUAUUAAUUUAGUGUUGCAGGGAAACAGGACUGUUACUUUGAAAAAAUUAGAGUGUUUAAAGCAGGCUAACGCUUGAAUACAUUAGCAUGGAAUAAUGAAAUAGGACGUUCGAUCCUAUUUUGUUGGUUUCUAGGAUUGACGUAAUGAUUAGUAGGGAUAGUUGGGGGCAUUAGUAUUCAAUUGUCAGAGGUGAAAUUCUUGGAUUUUAUUGAAGACUAACUACUGCGAAAGCAUUUGCCAAGGAUGUUUUCAUUAAUCAAGAACGAAAGUUAGGGGAUCGAAGACGAUCAGAUACCGUCGUA